rnacentral:rRNA from 1 species
AUGGAUCCGCCUCUCUGGGUCGAACAACUCAUGCACUCCUGCCUUCCGGCGUCCCCGGUUUCGGCCACCGCCUCCCUCAGCCUCUCCGCCGCCACCACCGGCAAGGACGGCGGCGGCGAGGACCGCAUCAGCGCUCUUCCAAGCGACCUCCUUUGCAACGUCGUCUCUCGCCUCCCCGUCAAGGACGCCGCCCGCACCGGCGCGCUCUCCCAGCGCUGGCGGGGCCUCUGGCGCGCCGCCCCGCUCGUCCUCGACGACGCCCACCUCCUCCCGGACGCCGCCGCGGCGUCCCGCGUCCUCGCCUCCCACCCGGGCCCCUUCCGCUCCGUCCGGCUCGUCAACAACCUCAUCGACGAGUCCAACAAGGACGCGCUCCUCGCCGAGUGGCUCCGCCUCCUGGCCGACAAAGGCGUGGAGGAUCUCAUCCUCGCCAACCACCCUUGCUCCCGUGGAGCGAUGCCCGUGCAGCUACCGCCAUCCCUCCUCAGCUGUGGCGCCUCGCUCCGCCGCCUCUACCUCGGCGUCUGGCUCUUCCCUUUCUCCAUCGACCUCCCGCGCGGCCCCGGCGUCUUCCCCCACCUCCAGGAGCUCGGCAUCUGUCAUGGCAUCACCCAGGAGCGCGACCUCCAGUACAUGCUCGCUUGCAGCCCCAAGCUGGAGAUCUUGGCGCUCAUCGGCACCUUCUGCCUCCCCGACCGCGUCCGCGUCCGCCACCAAAGCCUCCGUUGCGUGGUGCUCUGGCAUUCCCUGGUGGACGAGGUCGGCGCCAUGGCCGCCCCGCACCUGCAGCGGCUCAUCAUCUACUGCACGAACUCCACUGGGCCUGGAAUCGGAAGGACCAUCAAGGUCAAGAUUGGCCGUGCUCCUCAGCUCGCCGUGCUCGGCUACUUGGACACGGCCAAGCACGUGCUUGAGAUCGGCGACACCAUCAUCAAGGCUGGGGUGACAAAGGUUUGCCCAAGUACAGUGGUUCCAAGCGUCAAGGUGUUAGCUCUCAAGGUGCGAUUCAGAGUCGCUGCUGAAGUGAAAACUUUGCUGGGCUUCUUGAGAUGCUUCCCUGAAGUAGAGACCUUGCACAUUAUGGCUUCCGACAAUGACACCGACUACUACGAGGACCAUGGCCAAGUCAAGGUAAGGGACAGGCUCAGUUCCACCUUCUGGCAGCGGGUCGGUCCGAUCGGAUGCGUGGAGUCGCGUGUCAAGAGGGUGGUGUUCGAUCAGUUCACCGGGGGGACAAACGAGGUUGGGUUCCUGAAGCUGGUCCUUGGGAGAGCUGUGCUGCUGCAGAAGGUGACAGUCGUGCUGGCCCGUCCGGAUUCUGCGGCGAUGAGUGAGGCCAUGCGCAAACUGCAGCCGUUGGCUUCCAAGAGAAUGUGGGCCACUAAGGUUGUGGACAAUCCUUCCUUUGAAGUCUGUGGGCGCGUGGCAGGCCAUUUGUGUUGGUACAAAGAAGCAUCUGAUCUUUCUAUCAGUGACCCGUUCAUUUCUAUGUUAGGGCUGCACUGA